rnacentral:rRNA from 1 species
AGAGUUUGAUCCUGGCUCAGAACGAACGCUGGCGGCAGGCCUAACACAUGCAAGUCGAGCGCCCCGCAAGGGGAGCGGCGGACGGGUGAGUAACACGUGGGAAUUUUCCUCAAGGUACGGAACAACUCAGGGAAACUUGGGCUAAUACCGUAUGAUGCAGAGAUGCCAAAGAUUUAUCGCCUUGGGAUAAGCCCGCGUCAGAUUAGGUAGUUGGUGGGGUAAUGGCCUACCAAGCCUGUGAUCUGUAGCUGGUCUGAGAGGACGAUCAGCCACAUUGGGACUGAGACACGGCCCAAACUCCUACGGGAGGCAGCAGUGGGGAAUCUUGCGCAAUGGACGAAAGUCUGACGCAGCCAUGCCGCGUGAAUGAUGAAGGUCUUAGGAUUGUAAAGUUCUUUAGCCUGUGACGAUGAUGACGGUAACAGGAGAAUAAGCCCCGGCUAACUUCGUGCCAGCAGCCGCGGUAAUACGAAGGGGGCUAGCGUUGUUUGGAAUUACUGGGCGUAAAGCGCGCGUAGGCGGUUUUACAAGCCAGAGGUGAAAUGCCUGAGCUCAACUUAGGAAUUGCCUUUGGAACUGUAUGGCUUUGAGGACGAGAGAGGUGAGUGGAAUUCCCAGUGUAGAGGUGAAAUUCGUAGAUAUUGGGAAGAACACCGGUGGCGAAGGCGGCUCACUGGCUCGUUUCUGACGCUGUAGCGCGAAAGCGUGGGGAUCAAACAGGAUUAGAUACCCUGGUAGUCCACGCUGUAAACGAUGAGUGCUAGGCGUCGGCACGCUUGCGUGUCGGUGCCGCAGCUAAC